rnacentral:rRNA from 1 species
AGUGGGGAAUAUUGGACAAUGGGCGCAAGCCUGAUCCAGCCAUGCCGCGUGAGUGAUGAAGGCCCUAGGGUUGUAAAGCUCUUUCACCGGUGAAGAUAAUGACGGUAACCGGAGAAGAAGCCCCGGCUAACUUCGUGCCAGCAGCCGCGGUAAUACGAAGGGGGCUAGCGUUGUUCGGAAUUACUGGGCGUAAAGCGCACGUAGGCGGGUAUUUAAGUCAGGGGUGAAAUCCCAGAGCUCAACUCUGGAACUGCCUUUGAUACUGGGUACCUAGAGUAUGGAAGAGGUGAGUGGAAUUCCGAGUGUAGAGGUGAAAUUCGUAGAUAUUCGGAGGAACACCAGUGGCGAAGGCGGCUCACUGGUCCAUUACUGACGCUGAGGUGCGAAAGCGUGGGGAGCAAA